rnacentral:rRNA from 1 species
UACAGAGGUCUCAAGCGUUGUUCGGAUUCACUGGGUUUAAAGGGUGCGUAGGAGGGCAGGUAAGUCAGUGGUGAAAUCCCCGAGCUUAACUUGGGAACUGCCGUUGAUACUAUCUGUCUUGAAUGUUGUGGAGGUGAGCGGAAUAUGUCAUGUAGCGGUGAAAUGCUUAGAUAUGACAUAGAACACCAAUUGCGAAGGCAGCUCGCUACACAAUUAUUGACUCUGAUGCACGAAAGCGUGGGGAUCAAACAGG